UACGUAGGGGCCUAGCGUUGUCCGGAAUUAUUGGGCGUAAAGAGUGUGUAGGCGGUGCUCUAAGUUCGGUGUGAAAUCUCCUGGCUUAACUGGGAGGGUGCGCCGGAAACUGGGGUGCUCGAGCGUGGGAGAGGAAAGCGGAAUUCCUGGUGUAGCGGUGAAAUGCGUAGAUAUCAGGAGGAACACCUGUGGUGUAGACAGCUUUCUGGACCAUUGCUGACGCUGAGACACGAAAGCGUGGGUAGCAAACAGG
rnacentral:rRNA from 1 species